UGUUUUUGUUAUUGGAUUUGUUCUGUUGUUUGGAAUAGGAUGAGACCGGUACCGGUACCAAAUUUACCGAAACGUGUAUGUUUUGGUACCGAUUCGGUUCUGACUUUUGACAUUUUCGGUACCGGUAUUUAAAAUACCGGUACUGUACCGAAUCAUACCGUACCAGGUAUAUUUGGUACCGAUACCUGCUUUUGGGGAUUUUUGGUACCGAUACUCUCGGUUCCUCCGAUUCCGGUCGGUACCGAUACUCUCGGUUCCGAUACCGGUCGGUACCAAGCUUAGCCCUGGUUUUGAUAACCGAGAGAUUCAAAUGAUGCUAAUUAUUUUCAUGGUUCGAAUGACAAUCGUUGAGUGAUUAUAAACAUUCGUAUUCUUUCAUUAUUGUCUGAUGAACUCUUGGUUAUUUUAUUUUAUGUUUUGAAAAGAAUUU
rnacentral:lncRNA from 1 species